rnacentral:Y_RNA from 1 species
UUCUGGUCCAAGUACAGUGUUGUUUACAACUAAUUGAUCACAAUCAGUUACUGAUAUCUUUGUUCCUUCUCCAUUCCCAGUGUUUCACUUGACUAGCCCAAA